rnacentral:rRNA from 1 species
UACGUAGGGUGCAAGCGUUGUCCGGAAUUAUUGGGCGUAAAGAGCUCGUAGGCGGUGUGUCGCGUCGGCCGUGAAAACCUGCAGCUUAACUGUGGGCUUGCGGUCGAUACGGGCAUCACUGGAGUUCGGCAGGGGAGACUGGAAUCCCUGGUGUAGCGGUGAAAUGCGCAGAUAUCAGGAGGAACACCGGUGGCGAAGGCGGGUCUCUGGGCCGAUACUGACACUGAGGAGCGAAAAGCGUAGG